rnacentral:pre_miRNA from 1 species
UCCCAACAUUCCAAAUUGUAAGUCGUUCUGGCUUUUCUAAGUAGAUUGCUGUGGCUAUGCACCUAUGUAUGUAGAAGAGCCAGAGCGACUUACAAUUUGGAACAAU